rnacentral:lncRNA from 1 species
AUGACUCCUAUUGAAGAAUUAAAGAUGCCCCUUUUACCCAAAGGGAAGAACUGGUUCCAUCAUACCUGCACAAGACCUUAUGGAGACUUUGCCCGUGAAGAUGAAAUGAAGGAAAUGCUCAGGCUCAAUGUGUGUUCAGCUCAUCUCUCUGCCCUUGCUCAUGUUUUACUCAUCCUGGCACCGCAGGUUUGUGCCAACUACUUUGGGUUGAACCAGCUGCAGCCCCAUUCUCAUCCUCCCUUCCAUGGCACAGGCAGCAGCAGGAAUUUCAGCAUGGGGCCAUGCAUUUAGCCACCAGCAGCAUAAAAUCCAUUCUUCUGGUUCAGCACUGUGGGAACUGAUCAAUGGUCAAAUAGAUUUUUAGGCUUCAGGCAUUAGCUUGAGCCUGUGUGAAACUUGUUCUCACUCUGGCAUGAGAAAUCAUAAGGAGGAAUCCAAGCAGUCCUUAGAGACGGAAAACCACCUCUGUAGGUGUUGUUUGGAUCCUUGUUUGCUUGCAAGAAACAGUCAAGGGGUGGUGUUCCCAAUUGUCCAGUGAUGGUGAUGUUUUACCUUUCAGACCUUCUCGGAACUGUCUAUAAAAGAAGAUCUGGAAAAAUAAAACUUGCUCUCUUUUGCA